rnacentral:rRNA from 1 species
CGUCGUAAGCACACCUCUAAAAGUGUUUAAGUGUGCAAUCAUGAUCGCCUCAUAUACGUCAGGUCAAAGUGCAGCUAAUGAGGGGGAGGAAGAUGGGUUACAUUCUUAACAAAGACACGAAUAAUAACUCCAACAGUUAUUUGAAGGUGGACUUGAUUGUAAUUCUAUCUAACUAGCAUGAAAUUGAAUCUAAGACAUGCACACAUCGCCCGUCACUCUCACCUAAAGGCGAGAUAAGUCGUAACAAAGUAGGUGUAACGGAAGUUGCACCUGU